UAACCAAUUUAACAGCUAACAUGUGUUUUCUUUUGGAACAGGGAUUCGAAUCAGAAAAUUGGUGUGUAUUGGUCUGCGUUUAUCUUCCAAGUCAUGAAUUCAGAAGAAAUUAUUGAAUGCAUAGAAAACCUAUGGUAUCGUGUUAAAAAGAUGGUGAAUAAAAAAGAUAGUCAAGAUCUUUCCAAAGAAGAGGCAAGAAUUGUAGAAGAAGUCAGACAGGGGACUCUGGAGAUCUUACAAGAUGCUCUGAAGAAAAAAGACCGGGUGCUGAUGAAGGCACCUGAGAGAGUUGUCCUUCGGGGGGAAGAGAGGACGUCUUUCUGGAUGAAACGCCAUUCCAUCCUGACAGAAGAUAUAGUUCAAAGCCUGAUUGCAGAACUCAAGAAAGUCUACUUCAAGAAGGAUCAUGGAAGAAGUAAUACUGCAUAUGUGUUGCAUGGACCCGAAAGGAGAAGAACCAUCUACUUGUGUGACUUAUUCUGGAAGCGUUCAAAGUAUCUCACAAGACGUUCCCAGCCAGGUGUCCUCAUUCACGAAGUGGCUCACUUCCUGGGAGCUAAAGACUUCACCUAUGAAGAAAACACCCUCAUUGUUGGGUGCAAAGGCUGCCUGAUAAAGAACAGUCCAGCACACAGUUCGACUCCUUCUCGGGAGGACGACUGGGAGGGGGCCCUGAGGAAAGCCUUUCUGAAUGCCAACAACAUCGCGCACGAGUUUGAGCUGACCAUAAACCACAAAGGCAGCUAUGUGAAUGGCAGGUACUCCUGCUGUGGGGAGGUGAAGAGAUAUUCUGUGUGUGAGUCUUCUGUGCCUGACUACUUCCAUAUGUGUGAUGCUGGUGAAAGGUGGGAAACUGUGAUACUUUUGAAUGAAUUACAUCGAAAAUCAAGGGCCCUUGCGCCCAAGCUGAGACGAAUCAACAGAAUCGUUGAUGAAAUUGAUGAAUGUCUGAAGGAUGUUCACAUGGGUAUUUCCGUUGCAGUUGGUGGAGGAACAGGGGCUGCAGUGACAUACUUUCUAAGCGUUUCCCUGCCUCUUGCAACAGGUGGGCUCUCUGUUUUAUGGACAGUGCUGUUCCUCGUGGUGGGAUUAGGUUUAAUUGCUGUUGCCGAAUCUUCCCUUAAGGACCUCAGUAAAGAAGCAAAGCAGGAAGUAUAUGCCAUCUGCAAUGAAUACCAGCAUUUUCGGGAUAUCCAGAGAAUUAUAACUUUACUAAAUGGAACAAACUGCCACAGAGAUUUUCAAUCAAAUGUGUAUACUCAACUAGACAAGAUAAGGAGGAAAAAGAAUUGAGGAAGGAUGAAGAGGAGGAAAGUUUGUAUUUUUGAUUUAGCUCUCAAUGUGGCCUGGAAACAGUAGGCAAUUGCAAACUGCUCCUUUCCUUGUUAUCUUUAAGUCUCAAAUAAAAAAAUUCUUGUUUUCCAUAGCUUUUGGAAUUUUAGUUUGAUAUUGUUUUAUUAAAUAUGUAGGUCAAUUUGCUUAAUAUUGUUUUUCUGUAUUUUAUCAAGAUAACUGGUUAGAAUUUUAUUGUACAGUUUUAGCUUUUAUUAUUCUUUUCAGUCCACUACCCUCUUUGUGUAUAUUUGUAUACACAUAGAUAUAUUUGGUCCAUAGUUUUGUCUGUAUAGUACCAAAUUGUGCAUUGAUGGCACUAUGUUAAUUAAUUCACUUGCAGUUAAGUUGGGGUUAUUAAUGAUUACGUUUAAUUUGAUAUUUCAGAUAAAUAAUUAACACCUAUUACCAGAAAAAUGGGGGAAAUCCCACCUAUUUUUCUCCUCUCUGUUUGCACCACAUGGCUGGUUUGAACUUAGGGUACAAGAGGCAACCGCUGUGUGAAACGUUUAAAAACCUUAUUCCUUAUACUCCACACUCUUUUCUUUCUUUCUUUUCCUAUGUUGUAAUGAUUAAUAUAAUUUAUAUUCUUCAUUUAGAGCAGAGAUAAAGAAACUCGCCCUUUAUAGGCUCACACUUUGCUGGAUAAGGUAGUUCCUAUGGCUGGGUUGUUGUGUGUUUUCCGGGCUGUAUGGCCAUGUUCCAGAAGUAUUCUCUCCUGACGUUUCAGGCAUCCUCAGAGGUUGUGAGAUAUAACGUCAGGAGAGAAUACUUCUGGAACAUGGCCAUACAACCCAGAAAACACACAACAACCCUGUGAUUCUAGCCAAGAAAGCCUUCAACAGUUCCUAUGGCUCUUAGUAAGAAGCUUCUUCCAGUCCUUCCAUCAAUACAAGGGCUCCUUUUCCUCUUUCCCCCCUAAAGAGAACAUACAGUACUUUGUUUUUUAAAUAUUGUAUUUUUUAAGUUGUCAGCUGCUUUGCAUUUUGGUCAAGUGAUAAAAGUGGAAUCAUCAUCAUUCAAAGGACUUGGGUGGGGAAACAGGAAGAGAAUUGACUGGUCUUUUUAGGCCAGUGGUUCUCAACCUGUGGGUCCCCAAGUGCUUUGGCCUACAACUCCCAGAAAUUCCAGCCAGUUUACCAGCAGUUAGGAUUUCUGGGAAGUGAAGGCCAAAACAUCUGGGAUUCCACAGGUUGAGAAGCUCUGCUUUAGACACUUUCCAAAUCUUCAUUCAUCUCCUCCCCAAGGACAUGAUUCCAAGUAUUUUUUUGCUUAGCCAAAGGUGAGGGCUAGAUGAAGGAGUUUAAAAAAGAAGUUGGGAAUGAUGAGAAAUUUACUCUCUCCUUCCUCAGUGUUUCCCUCCUUCAAAGCCAUUGAAGAAGCCAUACAUCUUGUAAAAGCAGACACAUGGCUUGGCUUCAUCAAACACAUGCAUGUAACAUGCAGGGCUUCCCUUCAGUAUUUCAAGCACAACUGAGUAUUGUUAGAGUUGCUAAGACGCUCUUAAGCAGACUAGGUGAAGGGGUUGCUGAAAACAUCUAGUUGAAAAUAUUAAGAGAAAUGUUGAAUUGGAGAGACCUUGACCACACAUAGUAACUAAAGACCCCACUUCUGUGGAUAUCCAAAGAAUAUCCACUCCUCUAUUUAUAGAGGAAGGCUUUGGGUGCACCUUUCAGACUUGGCUGGUUUUAGGAUUGAAAUACAAGGAUUUUGUUGGAACAGUAUAUAGCCAUUUCCCAGGAAGUUCUUGGAGCUUAUUUAUAGUACAAAAAAAUAUUAGUUUUAUUUCACUUUACCUGUUAUGGGAUCGUGCAAAGUUAUAUUGGAAACUGUAAAUUCCUCACGAAUAUACAGUUCCCAGGGCAACUGAACUACACAUAUAUCAGGUUCUAAUCUAGAUAUAACCAGAUUUCUGUUGUCAGCACAAAGCUUGUUUCAGUAACCGUCAUAACACACUCACUAAAUGUGUGCCACAAAUCAAUACUUCCUCUAUCCAAAUCAUGUUACACAGGGAGAAUGAGGUAGGAUGACAUUAUGGCUAUAAUGGGCAAUGAAUGACUAUUUAAUUUGAUGUUGUAUUUUUAUUGCCAGGGAUGGAAUAAAAAGCUUGAGAGACUUUCUGCCUCAUGUGCAAAAACAACUCAGUUAAUGUAUUGCAAU
rnacentral:lncRNA from 11 species